UCAAGACUUGAAUGAUCAAAACAAGCAGAGAAUUUGUGGAGGGCAGUUUCAAGGCCGCUCAAGCUCUACUGAUUAAAAUAGACGGAUACAGUCUUGAUUGUACCACAAUGGACCCAGAUUACGAGACUACGGGCCAAUCUUCGUUUAUUUCGACACGCAUUUUUAUAAACAUACGACGUAUGAGUGGAAUUUGCCUCAGGCCUGUGGUGAACUACUUCACAGACUGAGUCCGUGUUUGGUUGAACACCGCAAGUGAACGCCUGUGUUGUUGUUUUUUUUUAAGGCCUAUUAAAGGAACACACGGGAUAUCACAACUAUCACGCCACGUUGGAAUAAAAUGUUGAUUUAAAAAAAGAAGGGAGCGAGAGAGACAGAGGAGGAGAGGGAAAAGAAAGUGGUGCGGUUUCAAACUACCCCCGGUCGCGCCCCGACGAGGCGGUUUCAAGGCAUCCUCUCCCAAGCAGUGCAGGGGAGAAGGCGAGCUCGCGAGGAGGCGAUGGCUGAAGCCGAGUGUGAAUUUUCACGUCCCGAGGAGCAGCACGCGCGUCUCCACAACCGACUUCAACUCUCUCAGUGACUUUUAAGGCACACAGUGAGGAAAAAUCAGCGACGUCGGCUUUGGAUGUUCCUGGUUUUCGCUUCUCCGCGAGGAUCGCUGGAACAAUAAGCCGCGGGAAUGAAUGGCUCGCCGAAACAAGGCGCUACCAUACAGGCGUGUGAGGUUCACGGCUGUCUGGGCGAGUUAGUAAUGACCAGAGGGACUGCAGCAGCCUUCACUUUCUUUACAGUUCACUUUCCCUUUCUUUUUUUUUUUUUCAAACUAAAAAACUAAGAAUUACCCAAUGAUGUCUUUGUGUUGCUGUUGUCUAACACUCCGUAAGACUGGCGCCUUUGUUUCUCCUGGCGGAGCCGAGCAUGGACGUUUGCCUUUGGAUCUCUAUUGCUCGCACUUUCAGCUAUUGUUCUCGGUGACAAUCACUGCGGUUGUUCAGGUGGGUGAUCAACGCGUUUUAUGCAAAUAAACGUUACCAACAUA